ensembl:lncRNA
CUGAAAUGAAGAGAUUCAGGACCACAAACGUCAUGAAAACGAUGCAGGAUCCAAUUAAGAGGGAGCCUAAAAUCGGAUUGUAGUCCAAGAUCUGUAGGAUUAAUAAGAAGUGCACUCUGCAGAUUUUCAACUGUAUUCAGGAGCUGGUGGGACACCAAACUCUGGACAAGGAUUAGAGGAGGGAACGUCUAACAGAGCUGCUCAGAAUCAUCACAUAGAGACAUUGUUCGUCCUGCCUCUCUUCAUUCCCAUGGCUUCGCACUGUGACCCUCACAGUCACUGCUGACUUUGGAGGAGGAAGGCAGGAAGGUGGGAUUUGCACCUCUUGUUGGCUGACUAUUCCAUUAAGUGGCUUCAAUAACAUGCCGAAAAUCUCACGCUACAGAAAACCAUCUGUUCUUCAUACAGACAGCACAGUCUGCCCGAAGUUAUGAUGGCCCGGAAAAUACUGUAUGUGUGACUUAUAAUGUGCCUGGAGCUUUGAGCCAAAACCAAAAAGCAGACAUGGAAAUAUUAAUAGCAAACAGUCUCAGAUUCAUCAUAAGGAUAUGCAGUUUUGUGCUGACGAAGAACUUCAGC